rfam:Ramazzottius varieornatus DNA, contig: Scaffold006, strain: YOKOZTNA-1.
GGGGAUGUAGCUCAGUGGUAGAGCGCGGUCUUCGCAUGGCUGAGGUCUGGGGUUCAAUCCCCCACUUCUCCA